AACCUUGCAUUGGAGCAUAUCCAUACCUGUGAAGUAAUAACUGAGGCUGGAUUAUUGCUGAAACUUUUUACCAGUCACCGCGAGACGACUAACCCUUUUGAGGAAGUCGGCUUCGCAAUUUUUGGAACGACCUCUGGUC
rnacentral:snRNA from 1 species